rnacentral:lncRNA from 1 species
UUCCUUGGAUUGUAAACAAUAUGACUGCAAUAUUCCUUCAAUCCACUCUAUCACUACCAAUACACAUUGUUUCACCUACUUUAUAAGUCCAGACAAAAUAAGACAAUCAGAAGUUGCAUGCUUAUCGACAGAAGAAAGAAAAAUCACAUAGCAGUGCUUGUGGGACCACAUUGAUAUAGUGUAAUGGUGAAAGUUCAGCAUCUGGUUAUGCACCUAUUUAUGGUUCUCCAUUGUUGAACUUGAAAUUUGAAAAGGUAGAAUAGGGUAAUACCACGUGCUUUUCUGACAAUAUAUAUGCAUAUUCAUAUCCAAUAAAUUAGUGAAUCAGGUCUUACGAAGUGAACUUGCAAACAAGACAAAUCUUCAUCAGACAUCAGUGACCAACCAUACUACUGGUCAUCAGAUGCUGCAUGCAAAGCUAUCAAUGCAGUAAUAUUCUAGUCAUUUAAGAAUUAAGAUAGCAAAAUGUCGAACAAGGGAGCAAUUAAUGUCAGAAGAUUGGUUGUACUGCCACAUGGCAAACCAUGAGGAAACUAAAAUGGCAUCAUCAGUAAGCAAGCAUUGUGGAAAUGUAAAUCAAGCCUCCAAUGAUGAGUAUCCAGAAAUUUCAUGGAGUUCCAAAGAUCCACAUCUCAAGUAAGAUGAUCCACAUCUCAAGUAAGACAUUCUGUGUUUAUGCAUGGGUCAAUUAUAUACCAAGUUAUCUAAGUAGAUCAUAUAAUUCUUAAUAUUGUGUGCAAUUUUGUCAGAGAAGAUUAUGUUGGCGGUUAAAUCCUGAUUUGGAAGCAAGGCAAAAUGAUUCUCUCCCAUGUUCUUACUUAUGAAAUACUUAAGCAGUUUAGAACAGAUGUAUGGAUAAUUUACUUACAAGAAUGUUACAAGCUUUUAGAAAUUUCUAUUUAUAAAACAUGGACAGUUUCUAUUCUAAUAAAAAUAUGCAAGUCCACAAGAACUUCAAUUUUCCACUAUAUAUUCAAAUCCUUCUUCGUGACCUAGGAAAAAGUGAUCGCCAAAUUAGAGUAUCAAUUCCAUGUCUGUACGGCACUCCUGUUCCCUCCACUUCCUUGGAUUGUAAACAAUAUAACUGCAAUAUUCCUUCAAUCUACUCUAUCACUACCAAUACACAUUGUUUCACCUACUUUAUAAGUCCAGACAAAAUAAGACAAUCAAAAGUUGCAUGCUUAUCGACAGAAGAAAGAAAAAUCACAUAGCAGUGCUUGUGGGACCACAUUGAUAUAGUGUAAUGGUGAAAGUUCAACAUCUGGUUAUGCACCUAUUUAUGGUUCUCCAUUGUUGAACUUGAAAUUUGAAAAGGCAGAAUAGGGUAAUACCACAUACUUUUCUGACAAUAUAUAUACAUAUUCAUAUCCAAUAAAUUAGUGAAUCAGGUCUUACCCAGAUAAAUUUCUCUAACUGAAUACAAAUAAAGAUGCAGGACCAUAUACAUAUAAAAAUAAGAGGAAGCUGUGCAUGCUUUGCUUGGUAAAAUGAGGCAGCAAAUGUAAGGUAUAAGUACAGUACCACAUUUUCAAAAGAAGAUUUCUUCUAGAUGUGAUAACAUAACUAUUAUAACAGGAUCGAAGAGAACAUAAGAGUGAAUGAAGACAUUCACUGACAUAUACAUCUCAC